AUUGAACGCUGGCGGCAGGCCUAACACAUGCAAGUCGAACGAGUCGCGGACGUGAGGGUAAUGUAUCUGCAACUGCGCGAUGGAUGGGGAUAACUACUGGGAACGGUAGCUACUACCGCCUACCAUCGGAUGUGCCCAGUUGGGAUUAGCUAGUGGGUGGGGUAACGGCUCACCUAGGCGACGAUCCCUAGCUGGUCUGAGAGGAUGACAAGCCACACUGGAACUGAGACACGGUCCAGACUCCUACGGGAGGCAGAAGUGGGGAAUAUUGCACAAUGGGCGAAAGCCUGAUGCAGCCAUGCCGCGUGUAUGAAGAAGGCCUUCGGGUUGUAAAGUACUUUAAGCUAGGAGGCGUUACCAGCAGAAGAAGCAUCGGCUAACUCCGUGCCAGCAGCCGCGGUAAUUC
rnacentral:rRNA from 1 species